GCGCGUGUAGCUCAGCUGGUUAGAGCGUCUCUUUGACGUAGAGAAGGCCCCUGGUUCGAAUCCAGGCACGCGCA
rfam:Parcubacteria bacterium GW2011_GWA2_52_8 TY73_C0014, whole genome shotgun sequence.